rnacentral:misc_RNA from 1 species
CAAAGAUUAAGCUGCAUGUGAC